CCUACGUGUGGCAGCAGUGGGGAAUAUUGCGCAAUGGGCGAAAGCCUGACGCAGCGACGCCGCGUGAGGGAUGAAGGUCUUCGGAUCGUAAACCUCUGUCAGCAGGGAAGAACGGUCACUGUGCUAAUCAGCAGUGAAUUGACGGUACCAGCAAAGGAAGCACCGGCUAACUCCGUACGAGCAGCCGCGGUAAUACGGAGGAUGCUAGCGUUAAUCGGAUUUACUGGGCGUAAAGCGCUCGUAGGCGGUAUGUCAAGUCAAGGGUGAAAUCCCCGCGCUCAACGUGGGAACUGCCUUUGAUACUGGCAAACUUGAGUGUGUGAGAGGAUGGUGGAAUUCCAGGUGUAGGAGUGAAAUCCGUAGAUAUCGGGAAGAACAUCGAUUGCGAAGGCGACUAUCUGGCACAUAACUGACGCUGAGGAGCGAAAGCGUGGGUAGCAAACAGGAUUAGAUACCCUAGUAGUC
rnacentral:rRNA from 1 species